rnacentral:tRNA from 1 species
GCCUGGGUGGCUCAGUCGGUUAAGCGUCCGACUUCAACUCAGGUCACGAACUCGCUGUCCGUGAGUUUGAGUCCCGCACCGGGCU